rnacentral:ncRNA from 2 species
UGAACCGGAGCGGGAGAGACUCGGCCACAACCCGGACCGAGCGCCGAAGGAGCAACUCUCCCCAGAAUCUCUCAGGCCCUGUACCGCUCCGGUGAG